rnacentral:rRNA from 1 species
UGCCAGCAUCCGCGGUAAUACUGAGUUUGCAAGCGUUGUCCGGAUUCACUGGGUGUAAAGGGUGUGUAGGCGGGGCGGUAAGUCAGAGGUGAAAGCCCACGGCCUAACCGUGGAAUUGCCUUUGAUACUGCCGUUCUUGAGUCUCGGAGAGGUCGCUGGAAUUCGUGGUGUAGCGGUGAAAUGCGUAGAUAUCACGAGGAACACCAGAGGCGUAGGCGGGCGACUGGACGAGUACUGACGCUGAGGCACGAAAGCGUGGGGAGCAAACAGGAUUAGAUA